CCCGACUGCUAUUUGGGUGAGGAUAAGCCAUGCGAGUUGGAUGGGAUACCUAAACUUCCCAUAGCAAACUGCUUAGUAACACAUGAUCAACUUGCCCUAUGGAGAAAAAUAACCUCGGGAAACUGAGGAUAAUGUUUCAUAGUUGAAUAGGCUUGGAAAAGUUUUUCAAUGAAAGGAAUAAGAUAAAUGGUUCUUAUUUGCCAUAGGAUAGGAUCGUGGUCGAUUAUGGUAGUUGGUGAGAUAACGGCUCACCAAGCCGAUAAUCGAUAGGGGCCGUGAGAGCGGGAGCCCCAAGAUGGGUACUGAGACAGCGACCCAGGCCUUACGAGGCGCAGCAGGCGCGAGACCUCCGCAAUACACGAAAGUGUGACGGGGUUACCCAAAGUGUUCUCUUAAGAACUGUGGUAGGUGAGUAAUGUCCCCUACUAGAAAGGAGAGGGCAAGGCUGGUGCCAGCCGCCGCGGUAAAACCAGCUCUUCAAGUGGUCGGGAUAAUUAUUGGGCUUAAAGUGUCCGUAGCCGGUUUAGUAAGUUCCUGGUAAAAUCGGGUAGCUUAACUAUCUGCAUGCUAGGAAUACUGCUAUACUAGAGGGCGGGAGAGGUCUGAGGUACUACAGGGGUAGGGGUGAAAUCUUAUAAUCCUUGUAGGACCACCAGUGGCGAAGGCGUCAGACUGGAACGCGCCUGACGGUGAGGGACGAAAGCCAGGGGAGCGAACCGGAUUAGAUACGUCGGUGCUAGAAUAAUAAAAUAACUAACACCAUGCUAAAAACCCGGGUAGUCCUGGCCGUAAACGAUGCAUACUAGGUGAUGGUACGGCCAUGAGCCGUAUCAGUGCCGUAGGGAAACCGUUAAGUGUGCCGCCUGGGAAGUACGGUCGCAGGGCUAAAAC
rnacentral:rRNA from 1 species